rnacentral:rRNA from 1 species
GUCCACGCCCUAAACGAUGUCAACUAGGUGUUGGAAGGGUUAAACCUUUUAGUGCCGUAGCUAACGCGUGAAGUUGACCGCCUGGGGAGUAUGGCCGCAAGGCUAAAACUCAAAGGAAUUGACGGGGACCCGCACAAGCGGUGGAUGAUGUGGAUUAAUUCGAUGCAACGCGAAAAACCUUACCUACCCUUGACAUGUCAGGAAUCCCGGAGAGAUUUGGGAGUGCUCGAAAGAGAACCUGAACACAGGUGCUGCAUGGCUGUCGU